AUUGGCGGGUCUGAGAACAUUCGGGUCGGGUUUUGGGUCUUAAUUCCGGGUUAUUUUCGGGUUCGGGUCGGUGUCGGGUCGGGUUUCGGGUCCUAUAAAUAUACUAGUUUCAACCCGAAUUUUUCUAUUGAAAAAAAAUCUAUACUCUGUUGUUGUUCUCUCCGCCUCCCUCAGCUCUCCACCUCCCUCAUGGCCUCAGUUAUCUGUUUUUUUGUUCUCUCUUUGAACAAGAACAAAAACCCGGUUGGAGUUUUGUAGUUUCAAACCGCCAAAUCUGUUAUACAGUGCUAGAUCGGGUUUUUGGUUGUUGUUAUGUGAGAUUUGGGAGCUGGGUUUUGUGUAGGAGGUUGUUUGUGAUGGUGGGUGUGGAAUACCAUUUGGAUCUGAGAGAGAUUUACUGAAAGAGAAAGGGAGAGUAAUGGAAGGGAACUUUGUUAUGGCUUUUCUUUCACUCUUCCUGAUCUUCCUGCUUUCUCCAUUAUGCUUGAUUUCAACUAACAUGGAAGGUUUGGAAUCUUUAUGUAGUGGGUAGGCCAUGUGAAGCAGUUGAUCCAGAAUUAGAGGCUCAUUUUCAAGAAGUGGAAGCAUCUCAAUUACUUCAAAUAGGUUUACUUUGUGUACAAGCAUCUGCAGAACUGAGGCCAUCAAUGCCAGUAGUUGUGAAAAUUCUAACUCAUAGUCAAGACAUUCCUCAACCAACACAGCCACCAUUUCUUAAUUCUAGCAUUAGAGAAGCUAACCAAAUUGUUCCACUUAGAGCUUAUAAUUUUCAGCUCGAUUUGGACACCCAGACUUCAAGGAACAGCAUGACAGAAAGCUUGAUUGAUCCUAGAUGAACAUUUAUUUUAUUCACUUUUUCAUGGGAACCCAUGUCACCAGGUGUUGCUUUUCAGUCAACAUGCUUUGCACAGCCUAAGGACCAAUUUGCAGAACAACAUAUUUUGUAUUAUUCUCCCAACAUAUUCUGCCUUUUAUUGAUAUGUAAAUUUCAUUUUUUGUUGUUGCCAA